AACGAACGCUGGCGGCAGGCUUAACACAUGCAAGUCGAACGCCCCGCAAGGGGAGUGGCAGACGGGUGAGUAACGCGUGGGAAUCUACCGUACCCUACGGAAUAACGCAUGGAAACGUGUGCUAAUACCGUAUACGCCCCACGGGGGAAAGAUUUAUCGGGGUAUGAUGAGCCCGCGUUGGAUUAGCUAGUUGGUGGGGU
rnacentral:rRNA from 1 species